UACGUAGGCAGCAAGCGUUGUUCGGAAUUACUGGGCGUAAAGAGUGUGUAGGCGGUGCUCUAAGUUUGGUGUGAAAUCUCCCGGCUCAACCGGGAGGCUGCAUCGAAUACUGGAAUGCUAGAGGGUGGGAGAGGUAAGCGGAAUUCCUGGUGUAGCGGUGAAAUGCGUAGAGAUGUGGAGGAAUACCGAUGGCGAAGGCAGCCCCCUGGGCCAAUACUGACGCUCAUGCACGAAAGCGUGGGGAGCAAACAGG
rnacentral:rRNA from 1 species